UUGUGGCUUUGUUCAUUCAUAUUACCA
rnacentral:piRNA from 1 species